CACGUAGGGUGCAAGCGUUGUCCGGAAUCAUUGGGCGUAAAGAGCUCGUAGGCGGCUUAGUAAGUCGGGUGUGAAAACCCCAGGCUCAACCUGGGGACGCCACCCGAUACUGCUAUAGCUAGAGUCCAGUAGGGGAGUGUGGAAUUCCCAGUGUAGCGGUGAAAUGCGUAGAUAUCUGGAGGAACACCGGUGGCGAAGGCGGCAUCCUGGACCGGUAUUGACGCUGAGGAGCGAAAGCCAGGGGAGCAAAGCGGG
rnacentral:rRNA from 1 species